rnacentral:rRNA from 1 species
AUUGAACGCUGGCGACAGGCCUAACACAUGCAAGUCGAGCGGAUGAGAAGAGCUUGCUCUUCGAUUCAGCGGCGGACGGGUGAGUAAUGCCUAGGAAUCUGCCUGGUAGUGGGGGACAACGUUUCGAAAGGAGCGCUAAUACCGCAUACGUCCUACGGGAGAAAGCAGGGGACCUUCGGGCCUUGCGCUAUCAGAUGAGCCUAGGUCGGAUUAGCUAGUUGGUGAGGUAAUGGCUCACCAAGGCGACGAUCCGUAACUGGUCUGAGAGGAUGAUCAGUCACACUGGACCUGGGACACGGUCCAGACUCCUACGGGAGGCAGCAGUGGGGAAUAUUGGACAAUGGGCGAAAGCCUGAUCCAGCCAUGCCGCGUGUGUGAAGAAGGUCUUCGGAUUGUAAAGCACUUUAAGUUGGGAGGAAGGGCAGUAAGUUAAUACCUUGCUGUUUUGACGUUACCGACAGAAUAAGCACCGGCUAACUCUGUGCCAGCAGCCGCCGUAAAAC